AUUGAACGCUGGCGGAAUGCUUUACACAUGCAAGUCGAGCGGCAGCGCGGGGCAACCUGGCGGCGAGCGGCGAACGGGUGAGUAAUGCAUCGGAACAUGUCCAUUCGUGGGGGAUAGCCCGGCGAAAGCCGGAUUAAUACCGCAUACGCCCUGAGGGGGAAAGCGGGGGACUUCGCAAGAGGCCUCGCGCGAAUGGGUUGGCCGAUGUCCGAUUAGCUAGUUGGUGGGGUAAAGGCUUACCAAGGCGAUGAUCGGUAGCUGGUCUGAGAGGAUGAUCAGCCACACUGGGACUGAGACACGGCCCAGACUCCUACGGGAGGCAGCAGUGGGGAAUUUUGGACAAUGGGGGCAACCCUGAUCCAGCCAUUCCGCGUGAGUGAAGAAGGCCUUCGGGUUGUAAAGCUCUUUUGUCCGGAACGAAACGGUUAGCGUGAAUAUCGCUGACUACUGACGGUACC
rnacentral:rRNA from 1 species